rnacentral:lncRNA from 1 species
CCGAAACUUGAUUCACUUCUACAGCAGACUCCACAUAAGAGCUAAUGAGUCUUCUUGUUGCCCUGUCGGUUCACUAUCAAGUAUUCAAGUUUUAACCUUGUGCAAUGCUGCAGGUGACGAAUAGUAUAACUUGAAAAUCUUAGGAAGCCACACAGGCAACAAAAACCCGAACAAAUUGAAGCACCACAGCACCAUAUUAGCCACAACAAUACUUCUUCCGGCAUAUAUCCUUAUUGCACUGCUGGAACUCGCGAAAUCUCCCCCACCGUAUUCCAUCGAAAACUCGUCUCUCAGCCACUCUAUGAGGGUUGAAAUCCUCACUGAAUUAUACACCACGGGAACAUAUACUCGUAUGGGGAGUGAAAACUUAUCCGAAAACCCCACUCCUUCCAUGAAUACUUGACAUAACAAAAGAAAAAGAUGAGGCACAGCUGGUUUGAUGCUCUCUUUAUGACCAAAAAAGAAACCUUCCGUUACGUAGGCUAUGGGGACAACAAGGCCAAUAAUGCCAGUGACAAUGAUGUAGAAGCCCAUAAACUUAAGCUGUUUAGAUGUGAGAAUAGGAGGAUAGGAAACGUUGGGGAUAACCGGAAAAGCAACCAUAGAAAGGAAAUACAUGUAGAUGAUAGUAAAGACUACAAAUGCAAAUUCUUGGGGCCUUACCAUUCUAGAAAACGAGAGGAGAACUAUUACAGCCAAAAUAAUAUAGUGCCGCAGAGUCAAAGAGUAUAAAUUUUUGGUACUAGUUUUGGGGACUGCUACCUUGUGAUUGUUCUCACUGGAUGGACUAGCCACACCAGACAUUUUUCUCAGAGGUUUGUUAAAGUCCCUCGAGUUGAGGGUUUUUAAAGUCCCUCAGAUUUCUCUGAUUUGUGGAAAUGAUAGGAGAACCCAAGGUAAGAUAUAAGAUAAUGAAGUUGAGUGGAUAGAAUUUCUGUGAUGGCAGAUCUAUAUAUCGAAGGCUGACGUGGCGGUUUCCAAAACUCUUAUUCUAAUUUUCUUGAAUUUUUAGAAUGUCAAUGCUUAUUGAUUAAUAUUUUCAAAUUUUGAGAUUUCAGAACCUCAUAUAAAUUUAGUAGUAUAUGUAGUGGUCUAGCGGACAUUUCCAAAUGAUAUAUUAUUUAAUUAGUCGGAUUUGGAUGGAAGAUUACAGUGUUCAAGCUUGAAUAGAUUCCGAGACUUGAACCACCUAUACAUAAGUUUCAGUGAUCAAGGUAGUAAGCGGUAAUUAUAUCGAGUAGUGCUAGGUGCACAUAAUUGUUUACAUAAAAUUUGUACAUAAUGAUGUGGCAAUUGAGGUGGAGGGUUUUAAUUGGGGUGGUUGAUGUGAAUACAGAGAGCCCAUUCCAAUUAAAACCUCCCACAUGUCAUUAUGUACAUAAUUCUGUAUACAAUUAUGUGCACCAAGCAUUUUCCAAUUAUAAGAGGAUGUACAAAUGCAAGUCGAAGCACUUCUUCACCUGUUGUAUACAUACUUAAUCUGAUCUAAUACAUAUAUUAUGUAAUAAAAUUGUAUAAAUGAUAUGAAAUGAUAUAUACUCGAAUUUAUAUAUACAAAUUUAUUUUAUUUUAUAUAAUUAACUGUUCGGUGUGUAGCGCGGGUAAAACGCUAGUUUCUUACAAUAAUUGAUUAAUUAGCAUAAAAGAAAUUUCUCUUAUGCUCACUUCCGUCGUUCACAACAUAGUUCCAACAUAAUGCUAAUCUAAAAACAUCACCCGAAACUUGAUUCACUUCUACAGCAGACUCCACAUAAGAGCUAAUGAGUCUUCUUGUUGCCCUGUCGGUUCACUAUCAAGUAUUCAAGUUUUAACCUUGUGCAAUGCUGCAGGUGACGAAUAGUAUAACUUGAAAAUCUUAGGAAGCCACACAGGCAACAAAAACCCGAACAAAUUGAAGCACCACAGCACCAUAUUAGCCACAACAAUACUUCUUCCGGCAUAUAUCCUUAUUGCACUGCUGGAACUCGCGAAAUCUCCC